UUCUCUAGGGAUCCUGCGAGACUUUGCACUAGAGCUAGCCCAGGGUUUCCUCACCUGCCCCCUGCCUGAUGCGGCUGGAGUCUGGAGGUGUCUCAGGCGCUGGAGACCCCGGGGUCGGGGGUUCCGGGAACAUGGCGUCGGGUUCCUGCGGUGCUUCCUGCAGAGGGCUUGAACCGGAAGUGGGCGCAAGCAGGCGUGGGAACCAGCAGACCACUGUUGCCCUGAGCUACCGCCAGGCUCCAAGCAGGGUGAUAGCAGUGCUGGUUGCUGAGCAACGAGCCUGUUGCCAAGACAACGGGAGGGACUGACGCACGGAAACGAAGUCCGGGCGGUGCCGGUGCACGGGACCCAGGUCCCGGAUCCCGCGGCCGAGUGAGGGCGGCCUGUGAUCUGUGUAUCCAUAGUGGCUCCUCCCUCCGCAUUGGACCCCUUGCACCACCACUCUUGCUGGUAAAGUGGGGAACCUGCCCUGGAACCUCUGCUGUGCCUUCACA